ACGUGGAUAACCUACCUAUUAGACUGGGAUUACUCCGGGAAACCGGGGCUAAUACCGGAUAAUAUAUUGAACCGCAUGGUUCAAUGUUGAAAGACGGUUUCGGCUGUCCUUUAUAAAGGGACCCGCGCCGUAUUACCUAGUUGGUAAGGUAACGGCUUACCAAGGCAACAUGACUUACCCGACUGGAGAGGGGGACCGGCCCCCCUGAAACGGAAAC
rnacentral:rRNA from 1 species